GAUGAACGCUGGCGGCGUGCCUAAUACAUGCAAGUCGAGCGAACAGAUGAGGAGCUUGCUCCUCUGACGUUAGCGGCGGACGGGUGAGUAACACGUGGAUAACCUACCUAUAGGACUGGGAUAACUUCGGGAAACCGGAGCUAAUACCGGAUAAUAUAUUGAACCGCAUGGUUCAAUAGUGAAAGACGGUUUUGCUGUCACUUAUAGAUGGAUCCGCGCCGCAUUAGCUAGUUGGUAAGGUAACGGCUUACCAAGGCAACGAUGCGUAGCCGACCUGAGAGGGUGAUCGGCCACACUGGAACUGAGAAACGGUCCAGACUCCUACGGGAGGCAGCAGUAGGGAAUCUUCCGCAAUGGGCGAAAGCCUGACGGAGCAACGCCGCGUGAGUGAUGAAGGUCUUCGGAUCGUAAAACUCUGUUAUUAGGGAAGAACAAAUGUGUAAGUAACUAUGCACGUCUUGACGGUACCUAAUCAGAAAGCCACGGCUAACUACGU
rnacentral:rRNA from 1 species